UACGUAGGGCGCAAGCGUUGUCCGGAAUUAUUGGGCGUAAAGAGCGUGUAGGCGGCCUGAAAGGUCAGCUGUGAAAACUCGAGGCUCAACCUCGAGACGUCGGUUGAAACCAUCUGGCUAGAGUCCGGAAGAGGAGUGUGGAAUUCCCGGUGUAGCGGUGAAAUGCGCAGAUAUCAGGAAGAACACCCGUGGCGAAGGCGGCUCUCUGGGACGGUACUGACGCUGAGACGCGAAAGCGUGGGGAGCGAACAGG
rnacentral:rRNA from 1 species